UCAGCCACACCGGGAGUGAGACUCGGCCCCGACUCCUACGAGAGGCAGCAGUGGUGAUUAUUGGACCAUGGGGAGAACCUUGAUCCAGCCAUGCCGCGAGUGUGAAGAAGGUCUUCGGAUUGUAAAGCACUUUAAGUUGGGAAGAAGAUCUUACGGUUAAUACCCGUUAAGUUUUGACGUUACCAACAGAAUAAGCACCGGCUAACUUCGCGCCAGCAGCCGCGGUAAUACGAAGGGUGCGAGCAUUAAUCGAAAUUUCUGGGCGUAAAGCGCGCAUAGGUGGUUUGUUAAGUUGGAAGUGAAAGCCCCGGGCUUAACCUGGGAAUUGCUUUCAAAACUGACGGGCUAGAUUACGGUAGAGGGUAGUGGAAUUUCCUGUGUAGCGGUGAAAUGCGUAGAUAUAGGAAGGAACAUCAGUGGGGAAGGCGACUGCCUGGACUGAUACUUACAAUGAGGUGGGAAAGGGUGGGGAGCAAACAGGAUUAGAUACCCUGGUAGUCCAGGCCGUAACAGAAAUCUAAGGGGUUGUUGGGGGU
rnacentral:rRNA from 1 species